AGCCGGGUCCCGCGCAACGGGCGGUUGCCAACUCCGUCAGGCCCGGAAGGGAGCAGCGGUAACAACCUCUCCCGUGUGCCGCGGGGGUGCCUGGCUGUC
rnacentral:SRP_RNA from 2 species